UCAGUUCGGACUGUAGGCUGCAACUCGCCUACACGAAGUUGGAAUUGCUAGUAAUCGUGGAUCAGCAUGCCACGGUGAAUACGUUCCCGGGUCUUGUACACACCGCCCGUCACACCAUGGGAGCUGGUAACACCCGAAGUCAGUAGUCUAACCGCAAGGAGGACGCUGCCGAAGGUGGGAUUAGCGACUGGGGUGAAGUCGUAACAAGGUAGC
rnacentral:rRNA from 1 species